rnacentral:rRNA from 1 species
GUGGGGAAUAUUGGACAAUGGGCGAAAGCCUGAUCCAGCCAUGCCGCGUGUGUGAAGAAGGUCUUCGGAUUGUAAAGCACUUUAAGUUGGGAGGAAGGGCAGUAAGUUAAUACCUUGCUGUUUUGACGUUACCGACAGAAUAAGCACCGGCUAACUUCGUGCCAGCAGCCGCGAUAAUACGAAGGGUGCAAGCGUUAAUCGGAAUUACUGGGCGUAAAGCGCGCGUAGGUGGUUUUGUAAGUUGGAGGUGAAAUCCCCGGGCUCAACCUGGGAACUGCCUCCAAAACUGCAUGACUAGAGUACGGUAGAGGGUAGUGGAAUUUCCUGUGUAGCGGUGAAAUGCGUAGAUAUAGGAAGGAACACCAGUGGCGAAGGCGACUACCUGGACUGAUACUGACACUGAGGUGCGAAAGCGUGGGGAGCAAACAGGAUUAGAAACCCGUGUAGUCC